ACAACCCAUUUGAGAUGAUGUGAGCUUUGUGACAUGGCACGUUAUCCUGCUGGAAGGAGCCAUCAGAUGAUGGGCAUGCUGCAAUCACAAAGGGAUGGACAUGGACAGCAACAAUACUCAGUGCCGAGAAACUCCACCCCCAGCGUCCCAGAGGCCACGCCCAUGUGGACUAGGACACUGUAAAACCGAGACACUCCCAGAAAAGGGCAUCUCACUUCAGGGAGAAGCCUCCACUUGAUGCCACUCAUACGAGCCUACUGAGCCAACAUUUACAACGUCUGAUUCCUGUUGUGCCACCAACUGCUUAUUGUGUUCAGUUUUUUGGACAAUUGUAUUAAACAGUGUGGCCCGAU